rnacentral:rRNA from 1 species
GAUGAACGCUAGCUACAGGCUUAACACAUGCAAGUCGAGGGGCAGCAUGAACAUAGCUUGCUAUGUUUGAUGGCGACCGGCGCACGGGUGCGUAACACGUAUCCAAUCUGCCCGUUACUCGGGGAUAGCCUUCUGAAAGGAAGAUUAAUACCCGAUGGCAUUCAUUGGCGGCAUCGCUUUUGCAUUAACGAUUUAUCGGUAACGGAUGAGGAUGCGUACGAUUAGCUAGUUGGCGGGGUAACGGCCCACCAAGGAUACGAUCGUUAGGGGUUCUGAGAGGAAGGUCCCCCACACUGGAACUGAGACACGGUCCAGACUCCUACGGGAGGCAGCAGUGAGGAAUAUUGGUCAAUGGGCGAGAGCCUGAACCAGCCAAGUAGCGUGAAGGAUGACUGCCCUACGGGUUGUAAACUUCUUUUGUUUGGGAAUAAAAGACGCUACGUGUAGCGUUCUGCAUGUACCUUACGAUAAGCAUCGGCUAAUUCCGUGCCAGCCGCCGCCGUAA